rnacentral:rRNA from 1 species
AAGUCGUAACAAGGUCUCCGUUGGUGAACCAGCGGAGGGAUCAUUACAGAGUUAUACAACUCCCAUACCAUUUGUAAACUUUACUCAGUUAUGCCUCGGCGUGAACUGCGUACGGAGGCAGAGUGGUGUUACCCGGUAGCUUACCCUGUAGGUUACCCUGUAGCGCUACCCUGUAUCAACUCCCGCGCAGCCCGCCGGUGGUACACUAAACUCUUGUUUUAUUUUAUAUUCUGAGCGUAUUAUUUUAAUAAUUAAAACUUUCAACAACGGAUCUCUUGGUUCUGGCAUCGAUGAAGAACGCAGCGAAAUGCGAUAAGUAAUGUGAAUUGCAGAAUUCAGUGAAUCAUCGAAUCUUUGAACGCACAUUGCGCCCAUCAGUAUUCUGGUGGGCAUGCCUGUUCGAGCGUCAUUUCAACCCUUAAGCCCAGCUUAGUGUUGGGAAUCUACUGUAUUGUAGUUCCUUAAAGACAGUGGCGGAGCGAUAGUUGUCCUCUGAGCGUAGUAAAUUUAUUUCUCGCUUCUGUAAGGCUCUAUUCUCCCGCCAUAAAACCCCCAAUUUUUUAGUGGUUGACCUCGGAUCAGGUAGGAAUACCCGCUGAACUUAAGCAUAUCAAUAAGCGGAGGAAAAGAAACCAACAGGGAUUCCCCUAGUAACGGCGAGUGAAGCGGGAACAGCUCAAAUUUGAAAUCUGGCCCUUGGGUCCGAGUUGUAAUUUGCAGAGGAUGCUUUUGGUGCGGUGCCUUCCGAGUUCCCUGGAACGGGACGCCUUAGAGGGUGAGAGCCCCGUACGGUUGGACACCAAGCCUAUGUAAAGCUCCUUCGACGAGUCGAGUAGUUUGGGAAUGCUGCUCAAAAUGGGAGGUAUAUUUCUUCUAAAGCUAAAUAUUGGCCAGAGACCGAUAGCGCACAAGUAGAGUGAUCGAAAGAUGAAAAGCACUUUGAAAAGAGGGUUAAAUAGCACGUGAAAUUGUUGAAAGGGAAGGAUUUAUGACCAGACUUUUUCUGGGGGGAUCAUCCGGUGUUCUCACCGGUGCACUUCCCCCAGUUGAGGCCAGCAUCGGUUUCUGUCGAGGGAUAAAAGCUUUAGGAAUGUGGCUCUCUCCGGAGAGUGUUAUAGCCUGUUGCAUAAUACCUUGACGGGGACCGAGGUUCGCGCAUUGCAAGGAUGCUGGCGUAAUGGUUAUUAAUCACC